GGCUGCAAGCUAGCGUGAGGAGGAGGGUGCAGAGCAGCACUGUCUCCGCCCACGACUUAGAGGCGAAUUGCUAAUAAGUUAGUGGAAAAGCCCUUGAAAAUGACUCAGGUAAUGCGAUUUUGGCUAAAAACUCUAUAAUCACAAUUUAAUGACCACUUGGAACACUUUAAGGAGUAAAAAAAAUAAAUAAAUAGACUCAUUCACACCACAUUCAUAAUGGUAGAGGCAGCUAAAGCACAGACCAGUCCUAAUCCCAUCCACACACCACUUGCACAGCCACAGAAGGGGUUUUUAGGGUUAACUCUACAGCAAAUCAAGCACCAAACUUCUAACUAAACAACAACUGACCACCCAAUUCUCUUUGAAUCAACAUUUUGUGUCAGCUUGUCUGUGGCUUUAGCCAGUAGUGGUAAUAAGCAACUACUUGGCGAGGGGACCCUGCUCUGAAUAUUGGUAUUCAAAUUUGCUUAUCCUGACAGAGUUCACAUGUCUGUCUGUCUGUCGUUAUUUGCCAGUGAAGAGACGGCUGAGCAAAAGAGUGACUAAAGCAUGCAAUGUCAGCAGUUUAAAGGGCAUAUCACUGGUCUGGUGAAUGAGCUCAGCCUGACGAAAAUGCUCUUUCUCCACCAGUCAAUCUAUUUUCCAAUACUUACCUCUGGUCACAGGUUGUUACCGAAUGACAGGCACAAGUGGUCAUAAAGUGAAUUUUCUUCCUAAGAUGGGUGUUACUAACCUUUAGAAAAUGGCAAGAAGCUCCAUCAAAAAGAAGCUUGGGGUAGAUGUGCUUUUCAGUCAUAUUAAAAGAGCCAAUGCAGCACAUGGAGUGCAGCGAUCUGACAGCGGACCCUGCUGGAUACCUCUGGUUUGGAUGUUGAUACUGUACUGGGAUGAGAUCCUUCCAUCAAUAAGGGGUUAUAAAGUCAUAACUCCAUUAAAUCCCACAGGAGGAGAUAUGAGACAUGACUGAACAAAUGGAUGCCCUUCAACCUGAACCUGUUAGGUCAACAAGAAAGGCACUUCUUGAUGGUUAUGUAAUGGUGGUGGUGAUGGUGGGAGGGUGCAACAAUUGAUUAGAGGUUUUAUGUUACAAUGUCUUAGAAUCCCUUUUGGCAGAUGAAAGUGUGCAUACCCACAACUUCAACACAGUAAAACAUUCAACUUUAGUGUCAAAACCAGCUCGUCAUCACACUUCUACCAACAUGGACAGAGGAGCUCUCGUGUCUGCCGUGUUCAUUUAGUGAACAGUCCACCAUUUGAAAAUGGCCUCUUUCACAUCUUCAACAGGAGGAGAGAUGUUAGGGAUGAAGACAGAAUGGUGCAGAGAUGGCAGUGACAGACAUAGGGGACUGAGGGAGGCAUGAAUUAGGGGAUGAUAAAAAUUAAGAUUAAUGAUUUGUGGAGAUGUAUAGGGGAAUAGGGCUGUGGCGAGUUGAAGAUAGGAAUGCUGCUAUAAAAGAGCAGGGGACUAACAAUUACGGGGGUAGGAAGGAGAAAUGGUUCCAGGAGAUUGUUCCUUUGCAUUCAAAGCUUUCGGGAAAGAAAAUUAGGGGCUACAAAGGGGAGUUAGAAAAAAAAGGAAAAAAAAAAACAUAGAGAAUAAAUUUCAUGUGAGUUGUGGUUAAAAACAGCAACCCAGCACAACAAAGAGUACACUACUUUCAGUAUUCAAGCUGAAUUGAUUUAUUUUUGCAUUUUAUUUAUUGUGUAGUAUGUAUAUCCCCAUUUUACUUAGUUGUGACCAUAGACUUUAUCUAGAAUGGACGUUAUCUGCCUCCUUGCUGUGUGAAGCCUCUACGAGAACAGCACCCCCUGGUGACUGGUUGCAGUACAGGUCAUAUAUAUUGCCUCCCCCAGUAAAAUGAAUAGAGCUGUGGACAAACUUUAGAAAUUUAUUACACAUAAUAUAAUUUUUUCUCCUCCUGGUUGCGAUGUUGACUUGUAGUUAUUGUAAGACUGGUUUAUGCUCAAGUCCUCUUUUUUCUGUGCAGCUCCAUUUUUAAAAGUUAUAAGGGGUUCAAAUGUUAAUUUUAGGAAGUGGAGAAAAUCCCAGUAAUACCAAGAGCAGUUUGGCUUCAAAUACAUACAAUGACAGAAGGCAAAGCAAUGUUGUCUUUACUAUAUUCAGUCUAUGAUUAUGCCAUUUCUAUAGUAUAGAAACUAUAUAGAAUAUAGUUGAAAAAGGAUUUGCAAAUGAUUGUAUUCUGUUUUUAUUUACAUUAAACAUCUCAACUUCACUGGAAUUGGACUUUGUAUGUAAUUUUUCUUAUUCACUUGUUUCCAGUCUACUUAAAGCAUAUUAGCAGUUAUGUUACAGCAAAGUAAAACAACACCACCCUGUUAAACACAACCAUGACGACAGCUCCACACAGUCCAGGACUUUUCUCUUCUCUUAUCUCUUCACUACCCUCACCAAUGUUUCCUUUUGUCCUUUUAUUUAUAUAAUAUAUGGAAAUAAACAAAAUGUUGGUAUUAUUUUGUCUGCAAAUCAUUUAGAUGUCUGCUGGUCAUAGCUAAUAGUAUAUGCUAACACCAAUAUUCAUUGUAAAACUGAAAAUUGUAGGUCAACAGCCCAUCUUACUUGAAGAGUGGGGCCUCAAAGGGCUUCCUGCAACCCACCUGAUACCUGUGGAGUUUUUUGGGCCAGACCCACCAUAUUUUGUGAAAUAAAAUUAUCAUUAAGUGGAAAUGCUGACACAGCAUUUUCACUUAUUGUUAUUUACAUUUCCAUUACCAUGUAAGAAAAAAGGUGUACUAAUUAUUUGAUUAAUUUCUCAGUGAAUAUUGUUCAGUGGUCAUCAUUUCAACGCUGCUGGGCCUGGGUGGAGGUUGACUGAACAUGUCAGUUAUUUUAUAACAUUUUGCCCCUUCCUCCUCGAGAGACCUUUUUUUCUUCUCCAUUUCCCUCAUGUCCACCUUUUCUCUUCGUUUUUUCUCCUCUUUUGCUGCCGGGUUUAAAAGGAUGAUCCAUUGUUAUUGAUGUAAUAUUCUUGUAUUUCCAGCGCUCCCUCUCUCUCUCUCGCCCCCCUCUCUCGCCUUGCUCUCGUAUCAUCCCAGCUCGGCGCUCUGUUUGUUUUCCUGUUUAUGCUGUGAAGGGGUGGGCCACGAAUCAUCACACCACACCACCGUUUAACGGAGAUCUGAUAUAAAAUAACAGAGGAAACAUGACCUCAAAAAGUAUAAAACGUCCUGACCACUGUCCACCACACAUCUGAGCAGAGACAUAACUGAUCAAACCUUGAGGAAAAAUCUCUUACCUUCACUCUGAAGUCUGAACUAGUCAGCAUUAUCAGUUAUCCAGCUCUUGCAGUUUAAUAAUCCAUUGAUCCAUCAAUCAAUUGAUCCUGACGCUUCAUAGCCGCUAGCCAGGGUUGGAGAAUCACCGGCCGUUUCGGCAGCAAAUGAUGAAAAUGCAAUGUUUUUUUAUUUCUUACGAUGUAAAAUUGGUUGGAGCAGUCUGGCGCAAGACAAAAUAUCCCUUCUCUAGUGAGUUUACUCGUCUUUGGCUCUUGAUUCGCCAUUUCAGCCAUCCUAAUCUGCUCUCAUUCAAUUGUCAAUACGCGGGCUACACAACCGAUUAUGUCACAUGAAGUGGCACUGCUUUACGGUUCGCCGCAGUGUCGCUAAAGUGGAACUUCUGUCACAGUUUUCUAGAAAUGUAUUACAUUUUGAGAGUCAUGAAUACAGUGAUUUUUGAAGUCGAGAGGCAUUCUUAAAAAUAAUGAUAAUUUGGGUCAGUAUGUCAUGUCCUCUUUAAUCAUCUAAGUUACAGACAUGAACUGUUUUCAAAUUACUUUGUUCUUUCAAACAGCAAAACUUGGCAAAAGUACUAAAUGUCUUAUGUCCCAUGUUUUUAUUCUGUUGGGUCACAGUGGAGCAGUUUCGCUCAGACCAGUCCAGCAGUUUAACUCAAUUGGGUCAGACUGGACUUCAAAUGACAGGCCAGACUGUAAAAGGCAGCAUCAGCACAGACAAGCUUCAGUACAUGGCUGCAGUGUUGAUUGUCAUGUCUAAAUCUUUGCAUCGAAAGAGAAACAAAGGGACCAGUGGUGCAGUUUCUUUGACCUCUGCAUUAUUUAAUGACAAUAAUAAUAAUAAUAAUAAUACAUUUUAUUUGUUAAGCGCUUUUCAAAGACUCAAAGACGCUGUACAUAGCUAAAAUCAUAUAUCAGUAUACAAUAAAAAUACAUCAAUAUACAAUAAAAUACAUCAAUAUCAAUUAAAAUCAAGUAAAAUCAGGUAAAAUCAACAAUCAAGGGGGGGGCUAAGGAAGAUGAAAAGCAGUGCGGAAAAGGUGAGUUUUGAGCUGGGUUUUGAAUUUGGUAAGGUUGGAGCAAUUUCUGAGGUCCAGUGGGAGUGAGUUCCAUAGGGUGGGGGCAGUGACUGAGAAGGCUCUGUCCCCCCAGGUUCGGUGCUUGGUCGAGGGUACUGUGAGGAGGUUGGCAUCGGCGGAGCGGAGGGUGCGGGGGGGGAUGUAGGGGUGGAGAAGAUCUUGCAGGUAGGGGGGGGCCUGGUUGUGGAGUGCUUUGUGAGUGAGAAGGAGGAUUUUGUACUGAAUGCGAUGGGGGAUGGGGAGCCAGUGUAGGUUCUGGAGGACGGGGGUGAUGUGUUGGUGGGAGCGUGUAUGGGUGAGGAGGCGGGCGGCAGAGUUCUGGAUGAGCUGAAGUUUAUUGAGGAGAGUGGAGGUAGUGCCGUGGAGGAGACUGUUGCAGUAGUCUAGACGGGAUGAGAUGAAUGCAUGUAUAAGGGUUUCGGCUGCAGAGUAGGAGAGGGAGGGGCGGAGGCGGGCAAUGUUUUUGAGGUGGUAGUAGGCUGUUUUGGAGAUGUGCUUAACAUGUUGUGUGAAGGUGAGGUUGCUGUCAAAGAGAAUUCCAAGGUUGCGACAGUGGGGGAGUUUGGUACAAAGCUAAAGAAGUGUGAAAUUCAUCUACUCUUUGUGAGCUGUCAAGGAAUUAAAGAAGGGACAUAAUCUACUUUUCCCAGAUUCUAUACUUCCUUUCUAAUUCCACUUUGAUAUCUUUACAUGAUUUUACAGAUAAAAAAAGGUCUUGAAAUAUCAUUAAUUCAGCCUCUGUCUGAAACACUUCAUUUGCUUUGCCAGAAGCUCAAAUGAACCAGUGAAGAGAGUCUUUAACACUGACCCAGUCAUGUUCGUAAGCCUCAUGUUUCUUCGCAAGGGCUCAUUUUGAAGAGUUUACAUCUAUUUUUUAGUAUUAUGACAAAAUACAUUUACUUUGUGAUUUUAAAACUUUCCAUACAACUAGUGGGGACACCAAACUUUGUAACAUUACAGUUUUUGUUUUAAAUGUGGAAAAGCAUCAUACCACCCCUUUAACAUUACAUCUUUCAUCAUCAACUACUCCAAAGCAGUUCAAAUUUGCUCUACUUUGGCAGUGUAAUAUUCUCUGUGUACCAAAAAAGGGAAUUUGGUGCACAGGACUAGAGGGGGAAUCAACCUACCCACACCAAGUUGAUUAAUUUGGUGCAUGACAGUCAGAUGGGAUGUGCAACUCUAAUCCCAUAAACCUCUCAUCAAAUCCAGGGAAUGACUCUCCAUUGUCUGCUUGCUGUUGCUUCAGAGUGUGCACUGAAAAACUGUGUGGUAAUGGAACUCAGGCCCAGCCCUGGUAAACAAGCAACAAUUAAACUGUUCAGCUGAGCACCAAUACACAUUGUAGUUAAUAAGCAGCAAGUAGCACUUAUACUCUGGACUCCAACCUUCUUCUCUGUCUGAACUCUGUGUUGCCCCACAUCUUAACCGCAGUGUCAUUGUCCCUCUGAAGAGUAUUCUCCCAUGAGUCACAGGUUAAGAGUCAUCACCAUGGAUAUGUAGAGCAAUUAUUCUGAAGCUGGGGCCCUGCAGAGACUUUGGUCUUUAUGCAAAAAUAUCACCACCUCACUACCUAAAACCACAAUAAUGAACUGUCCUAAUUAACCAUAAUAAUAAACCACUGUGAACUGUUCUACCAGAGACAACAAAACCCUGGAUCUGCUGUAUGUCAACGUCAAAGAAGCCGACAGAGCCACUGCCUUACCACCACUGGGCAAGUCAGAUCAUAACUUGGUCUAUCUGCAAACCUGUUACAGACCUUGUGUGCUGAGGCAGCCUGUGACCAAAGUCAAAAUCAGAAGAUGGACACCUCAAGCUAGCGAAGCUCUAAGGGACUGUUUUAAAUCAACAGACUGGAAUGUGCUGCUGGAAACAGAUGUUGAUAGUAUGAAUAUUGACAAACAGGUUGACUGCUUUACAGAAUAUGUCAACUUCUGUAGAGACACAGUUAUACCCACAAAGACUGUUUGCUGUUUCCCCAACAACAAACCCCGAAUCACAAGUGACAUAAAAGCAAUCCUUAACAAGAAAAAGAAAGCUUUUAAAGAUGGUGACAAAAAACGACUCAAACAAGUGCAACAAGAGUUGAAGAGGAGACUGAAGAUGGUUGAGCUGGAGUACAAAAAGAAGAUAGAGAAGAAUCUACAACAUAGCAACAUCCGUGAAGUGUGGAGAGGAAUCAGUAACAUCUCUGGACACAGCAAUAAAAAGAAAAGACAGCCAGUGGUGGGUGAUCUGGAAAGAGCAGAUGAACUCAACCUGUUCUUUAACAGAUUUGACACUGCUGUCACACCCACUUCCACAACUUCUCCCCUUCCUCCUCCAUCUCAUUCCGAUGUCUCAACCAUUUCAACUACCUCCUUCCUAGACCGCCAGUCCUUGUCUGUCACCGAAACAGGGGUGAGGAUGGAGCUUGGAAGACUUUGUCCUGGGAAGGAAGCUGGUCCAGAUGGUGUGUGUCCAAGGCUGCUUAGAGACUGUGCUGCAGAACUGUGUCAACCUCUCCACAGGGUCUUCAACCUGAGUCUACAGCUGGGGUGGGUACCUGCUCUGUGGAAAACAUCCUGCAUUGUGCCAGUACCAAAAACAAAAUGUCCCGCUGAGCUCAAUGACUACAGACCAGUGUCACUUCACACAUCAUGAAAACCCUGGAGUGGCUGUUUUUACGCCUUCUGAUAAACUCAAUUUCCUGCAGUUUGCAUACAAAGAACACAUUGGAGUGGAAGAUGCUGUCCUCUAAAUGCUUCACUGUGCCCCGUCUCAUCUGGAGGAACAUGGGGUUUAUGCAAGGAUCAUGUUUUUCGACUUUUCAAGUGCAUUCAACUCCAUCCAACCCACCAUACUCAAAGACAAGCUCACAGAGAUGGGAGCGGAUCCUGCCUGUGUUUCCUGGAUCGCAGAUUACCUGACAGGAAGACCACCGUUUGUCAGGCUGGGGAACUGUGUUUCUCGGACAUUAAUGAGAAGUACAGGGGCUCCACAAGGGACAGUGCUGGCGCUAUUCCUGUUCACACUGUAUAUGUCAGACUUCAAAUACAGCACUGAGUCCUGCCACAUCCAGAAAUACUCAGAUGACACCGCUAUUGUGUAUCAGAAAUGGACAAGAAGCUGAAUACAGAAAUCUGAUAAAAGCCCUCAGUGACUGGAGUCACAAAAACUGCCUCCUCCUCAACACCUCAAAGACCAAGGAGAUGGUCAUAGACCUCCGUAGAUCCAAACCCCCUCUUCAGCCUGUGGAAUGCACAUCGAAGUGGUGACAUUAUAUAAAUACCUAGGUGUACAGUUGGAUAAUAAGUUGGACUGGUAUAAGAAUGUAGACUUCAUCCACAGAAAGGGUCAGAGCUGCCUCUUUUGCCUGAGAAGACUCCGAUCGAUAGACAUCUGGAGUAAGAUGCUGCAGAUGUUUUAUCAGUCUGUGGUGUCUGUAGUGUUCUGUUCUACGCUGCAGUCUGCUGGGGAGGAAGCAUCAAACACAAAGAUGCAAGACGUCUGAACAAACUGGUGAAAAAGGCUGGCUCUGUGGUAGGACUUAAGCUGGACUUAGUGGAGGAUGUGAUGGAGAGAUCGACAUCGAGGAAGGUAGAGACUAUUCUAAAGAACAUGGAUCACCCACUUCACAAAACCUUGAUGGACCAAAGGGGCAAGGGUGGUGGACGGCUCCUCUCUCUUCGCUGCAGGACAGAGAGAUUCAGAAGAUCUUGUGUGCCCACACCUAUCAGACUUUAUAAUUCUUGUGUAAAUAGUAGAUAACUUUUAGAGACAUAUCAAUUGAGACAACAGACCAUUGAAUUUCCCUUUGGGGAUUAAUAAAGUUCUUCUUAUUCUUAUUCUUAAUCUUAAUCCUAAGAACAUAACACUGUAGACACAGAUGCAUUAAUCUGCAUAUAAUUAAAGUCACUCUUUGAUUAUUUGAUGCAAGACUGAUACAAAAUCAGGUGAAGGUUAUUUCUACAGUUUAAAUAUAAUCUUAAUGAACUUUCCCAAAAGACAGUCCUUUCUGACUUCAAGCUCUUGUGAGGAGAGCUUGAAGCUCUUGCUGAUCCCGACUGUCCCAUCCUCAAACAUUGUCUUUGUCAUGAACUUCUCCUGCUGGCCUUUGACUUUUAAAUGUAAAACUAGAUGUGAAUAUUUGAUGUAAGAAUUGUAGAAAUAGGGGUGUUGCCUUGGUGACUUGGCUGACACAUUUUUUUGCACUUGCAUUUGACGAAAUACAAUAAUUAAAUAAUACUUAAGUAAAUAGAUAAAAUUUAAGAAAAACAAACAACAACGUAAAUAUCAGGGUUAAAAUAAAAAUUAAGUCAUGUGCAGAAUCCUCAUUCCAUACGCAUUCAAAUGGAAUAGACAUGUCUGUUUUAGCCAGUGUUUGGUUGUAAACAUGUAUUGGGUUAUGCUAUAGAUUGCUAAAUACAGUCAAUAUUGCUGUCAGAUAUCGGCUCUGUGAUGCCAAUAUGAUGCAGAUUAUGCAACAAUACCAAUCUGCCCUAAUUGGUGUAUGCCAAGUUAUAAGAUGAAUACUAUCAGAUAUGUUGUAACUAAAGUCAGGGGAGAAGAAGUUUAGUUCAUCAUGGGGUCAUCAGAUUUAUUUCCAACACCUACAGGAAAAACCCAACUCAGUGAGAAGUAGCAGCACCACCAGACUCUACAAAGAUGAGGAAAUAAUUACUGAUGGCAAAAAAAAAAAUGUGAUGCAGUUUCUUCCCAACUGUCAGGAAGGACUUGCACUUGGUUUCAGUGCUAGCCUGGACCAUUUAACGUAAUUAGAAGGAAAUAUCUUUAUUUAUUGGGGAAAAAACCCCACAAACAAUAGUAAUAUGAGAAUUCAAGAAAAUAGAAACCUAACACUAGACUCUUUCGUGUAGGAAUAAAAAGUUACAAAAGUAAAAGGAGGUUUUUAGUGCCAAAAUCUAGGAGUUAAAGUUAUACUUUGAGAUAGACAUUUUGGCAAAUAUCCAGAACCACUGACAUUUUCCUUGAAGCUCAUGUACAUGUCUAACUUGAUUUAACUUGAAGAUAUACCCAAAGCCUUUUUCAAAUUUAAUCAAUGUGACAUAGAUGGAGGGGAAAUCACAUUAAAACACAGGAUUAAUUUCAUAUUAGGCCUUGAGUUUUGUUUUUUUUAAAACCUUUUUUCUGUAGUUCAUAUCAGAAUUACACCCAAAGUGAGCAGCCAUCCAAUUUCUUUAAAAUAAUGAAAUAACAUAAUUAUGUCAGGUGUUAGGGUAAUCCAUAUCUACAGUACGUCAUGCACGUUCUGUGCUUAUGUCAACCCAUUUCUUCAUCCAGUCAGGCCCUGCUGUUCUGUGUUGAACUAUCCAUCUGAAAUGUGUGAGAAACACUUAUAUGUCAAGUUCAGCGGUGGGGAGAGAAUCUACCUGACAACAAAUUAAUGAAAAUGUCACUGACUUGCACCUCCAUUUCUUAUUUUCAAGAAUGCUCCACUGAGCACAUUAACAUAGAGGCUGAGACGCUUUCACUCGUCUCUUUAACCCCCCUGAUUCAGGAUUUUUUCAUUCCUAUUUCUCUCUCUUCUAAUUAUUGCAUGCAUGUCAGUGCUCCCUGUUUGAACCCUGCACACCUGUUUGAUUAAAAGGUAUAGCAGGGUCUGUGUAACACUUUGAAUGAUCUUUUACUCUAUCUUGACAUAGCAAAGCCAUGACCCUGUGAAGCCAGGGACGGCGGGUUAAUGGGAGCCUUGACAGCCAAGCCAUUCCAUCAGCAGUGGUAGUCUGCCGAAAAGGUCAACUUCCAGCCCAUACGGCCAACCAGACGGAAAUGUCAAUGUUGGAGAGGGGGAAGUAAGGGAGGACCUUUCUGUUGAAAAUGAGGUGAAUGUAUAUUUCAUAUCUGUGCUGAGUUAAAGUUGAAUUAUUCCAGUGAUAAUAGUUUUCAAAAUCACAUAUACAAACAAAAGUAUAAGCAUGGUGGUUCAGAGGAUAAGCCAUGGCCUUUUCUGUCUGGAGUUGGAACCACAAUGGAAAUGUCAUUCAACUCACUGUGCAUUUACCCUGAAGCUAUCAGAAUCAACAGUCACAGGGAGACCAUUCAUUUCCUCUUUUGUUUUUUUUAAGGCUAGCUCAGAGUGUGUGAACCCUCACACACAUUCAUAUCUCUUGACUGAUGUGACCACAUUUGAUUAAAAACUUUGUAAACAGAUUCUGUGGCCUUUAAACGUUGUGUUUGUUGAUUGUUUUUUCUAAUAAAUCUGUUAUUGUGAUUUGCAGAGCACCAAAUAAGUCAAAUGGACAUUUAUAAAAAGCAAAAAAUUCACCUUUUUUUAGAAAGAUUUGUGGUGAAUCCAGAAACAAUGUUCGAGCUGGUCACUAAUCAGUUACAUAUUUCUACUUCCCAAUGUUUGCUUGAUUGCUUUUAUUUGGUUGAUAAAAUAGUUUCCAUAAUUCUGCAGUAAUAUCAUUACAGUAAUAUUUUAUGGCCCCAAUAAUUGUGAGGUGAAAAUCUGAAAUCACAAUGGUGAUUGUUCAUAUUGUAUCAACUGGGGAGCCUGACUGGUCCAAACCUGCUGAAACAGAACUGAGACAGAAGCUCUGCAGGCAUCGUCUUUACCACAUGGUUUGGUUUUUUGAACUUUUUCCCCGCCAUUGACAAGAUAUCCCGUCAAUGCUUGCUUUCACUGCAAUUUGACAGGUGGUGCUGUGGUUUACCUUGUGGAGCAGAAAAGCAAUCCUGACUUGAUCAACAAGACAAGAAGCUCCAUGAAGAAUGGAAAAAAGACAGGUGCAGUUAGAGAUGAGAGGGGUGAAGUACUUCUAAAUCAGCAAAAAAUCCGACUCAGACCAUACGUUGUCAUGGGGACUGCACCAGAGCCUAUUAAUAGCUGUAUUAAUAUUCAUAUGGAACAAAGCAGAGGGCUCCACUGAUACUUAUUUAUUAAUGUAACAACUUCAACUGAGCUGUCAUCAUCCUUUGUCUGAACAGGAUGGGAUGCAGCACAGAUAAAUAGAUAUUAAAAUCAUAUGUCACAUGUCAGUGCUAUCAUAUUAGUAUCCUAUUGAUGUUCUGCUUAGAAAUGGCAAAAAUACUUAUUUCUUUGAAAAAAAUGUGAUUUUCUCAGCUUUUCAGUGUUGUUUCGUUCCAGACGAUUUGUUCAUCAGAACCAAAUCUUUUAAGUGAACGUACUGAAACGAAUCACUCCCUCAAUUGAUUCGUUCAUUUCCCACUUCAGUUGAGCAGCGCAGCUGUUAUAGCGCACCUGAAUCACUUGGUAAACAAAUAACACAUUGAACUACACUCUCUGGAAUCAUUUUUGUUGGACAAAAAUAACUUUUUUUUUUUUUUUUUUUUUUACUGCUAAAUUGCCACUACAACAACUUACAUACAAUAGGACACAGCAUGUAACAAGUAGUGCAUAAAACCCACAGCAUCCUAUCAUUGCAGCAGUUUGCAAGGAAACGGUGCAUGUUCAGUGUGAAUUCUUCUAAAUGUUAAGUGAACGAAUCACUCACUGAGCCCAAUUUACUGAGCAGACAUGAUAAAUAGCAUACCAUAGUACAGUACACUUAAAACAUCAUGACUUAUAAACAAGUCCAUUUUUACGAAUCUAUUUGUCAAAGCAA